AAAGGGUUUUACUUAAUUGUAGAUUAAAAGGGAAUUGUGUGAAAAUCGCAAACUGUCCCGCAACUGUAAGUAACGCAACAAAGGUUUUGCAAAUAAUGUCCACUGCCAAAAGCGGGAAGGACGGCAAACACCGUUACAAGUCAGGAGACCUGCCUAUUCCUA
rnacentral:ncRNA from 1 species